rnacentral:rRNA from 1 species
UACGGAGGGUGCAAGCGUUAUCCGGAUUCACUGGGUUUAAAGGGUGCGUAGGCGGGUAUAUAAGUCAGUGGUGAAAGCUCCGAGCUUAACUUGGAAACUGCCAUUGAUACUGUAUAUCUUGAAUAUCGUAGAGGUUAGCGGAAUGUUGCAUGUAGCGGUGAAAUGCUUAGAUAUGUUACAGAACACCAAUUGCGAAGGCAGCUAACUAUGCGACAAUUGACGCUGAGGCACGAAAGCGUGGGGAGCAAACAGGAUUAGAUACCCUGGUAGUCCACGCCCUAAACGAUGAUUACUCGAUGUUGGCGAUACACUGUCAGCGUCUUAGCGAAAGCGUUAAGUAAUCCACCUGGGGAGUACGCUCGCAAGAGUGAA